GAUGAACGCUGGCGGCGUGCCUAAUACAUGCAAGUCGAGCGAACAGACGAGGAGCUUGCUCCUCUUACGUUAGCGGCGGACGGGUGAGUAACACGUGGAUAACCUACCUAUAAGACUGGGAUAACUUCGGGAAACCGGAGCUAAUACCGGAUAAUAUAUUGAACCGCAUGGUUCAAUAGUGAAAGACGGUUUUGCUGUCACUUAUAGAUGGAUCCGCGCCGCAUUAGCUAGUUGGUAAGGUAACGGCUUACCAAGGCAACGAUGCGUAGCCGACCUGAGAGGGUGAUCGGCCACACUGGAACUGAGACACGGUCCAGACUCCUACGGGAGGCAGCAGUAGGGAAUCUUCCGCAAUGGGCGAAAGCCUGACGGAGCAACGCCGCGUGAGUGAUGAAGGUCUUCGGAUCGUAAAACUCUGUUAUUAGGGAAGAACAAAUGUGUAAGUAACUAUGCACGUCUUGACGGUACCUAAUCAGAAAGCAACGGCUAACUACGUG
rnacentral:rRNA from 1 species